rnacentral:miRNA from 1 species
CUUGGACUCCUGUGGUCCAAGAGAUCGGAACUGAUAUUAUAUGUAUGUAUAUAUAUUAUAUAUAUUAUAAAAUGCAUAUAUACAUAUAUAUAUAUACAGUCCUGAUCUCUUGGACCCAUGUAGUCUAAG